AAUAGUAAUAGUUUAUGAAAAAUGUAGGUUUGUGGUGCCUAAGAUACUUUUUGUUUACUAU
rnacentral:tRNA from 1 species